UUUGAAUUUACAAAAAUGAAUUUAGAAUAUGCUACGCAAUUCAUUUAUAUUCCUUUCAAGAACAUGGUUCAAUCAUGUAGACUUCAGUUGUUUUUGUAUAGAUUCCUUUUGCGUUGAUUGAAAUUGAUUGAAUUGAACAUUUUAAAUGAUCAAAUUAAGUUUGGUCACUACCGGAAAUGGUAUAUUUGAAUCAAAUGGCGCCAGGAAGUGUAGGUGGCACUUCCCGGGCACUGACACCAACCGUUUAUAUACUGUCUAUGCUUCCAACACAGGCAAACUGUUAUUACAAGGACAUCGCCAAAACAAGAAGAAUGUGAAGAAGAAUGUUGAGUAUGUGUUGGCUGCGUGCAGGAUUAAUUCUACAGCAGCCAUGUUGUCUCCUUCACAAAAAAGAUCCUAUUUGAACAGCAUACACAAUCAAAUGCUUUAUAGUGGGCAUGGAUGAAGACACCAUCAACGAGGCCACUGAAGAACCAGCGUUGGGAUUUAUGUUCUUAAAGAACAUGCUUCAAGUGAUGAACCAGGGGACAUUGGUAUUGUCCUUGAAGGCAUCAAGAUGUUGCAAGAUCUUUAUAAUGUAGCAUUACCUGUUGCUACGCUGUUUGGACUAAU